AACGUAGGUCCCGAGCGUUAUCCGGAUUUACUGGGCGUAAAGCGUGCGUAGACGGCUAUCUAAGUCGGGUGUGAAAGCCCCGGGCUCAACCUGGGAAUUGCAUUCGAGACUGAAUAGCUAGGGUGCGGUAGAGGGAAGCGGAAUUUCCGGUGUAGCGGUGAAAUGCGUAGAUAUCGGAAGGAACAUCAGUGGCGAAAGCGGCUUCCUGGACCAGCACCGACGUUCAGGCACGAAAGCGUGGGGAGCAAACAGG
rnacentral:rRNA from 1 species